rnacentral:tRNA from 1 species
GCCCUCGUGGUCCAACGGACUACGAUACCUGCCUACGAAGCAGGAGAUGGAGGUUCGACUCCUCCCGGGGGCA